GGUACUGUGGCUUAGUUGGUCACAGCGCCUAUCUAGUAAACAGGAGAUACUGGGUUCAAAUCCCAGCAGUGCCU
rnacentral:tRNA from 1 species